GACAAGUCCGAAAUGAACCGGCAGGUUCGGUACCAUAUUACAGGAGGGAAUCCCAAAGGAAAGUUCGCUCUGGGACUAGUUCAGAAUGAAUGGAAGGUUUAUGU